rnacentral:rRNA from 1 species
AUGCAAGUCGAACGAGAAAGCAACUUCGGGUGUGAGUAGAGUGGCGCACGGGUGAGUAACACGUAGGUGACCUGCCUUUUAGUCGGGGAUAACCAGGAGAAAUUCUGGCUAAUACCGCAUACGAAUCACAAUUUUGGAAGUAGUGAUAGAAAGAAUGCCUCUCCUUGGAAGCAUUUGCUAAAAGAUGGGCCUGCGUAGCAUUAGCUAGAUGGUGGGUAACGGCCUACCAUGGCUACGAUGCUUAGCUGGUCUGAGAGGAUGAUCAGCCACACUGGAACUGAGACACGGUCCAGACUCCUACGGGAGGCAGCAGUGGGGAAUAUUGCGCAAUGGGCGAAAGCCUGACGCAGCAAUGCCGCGUGAGUGAGGAAGGCCUUCGGGUUGUAAAGCUCUGUCAGAUAGGAAGAAUUGCCAAGGGUCCAAUAGGCCCUUGGAGUGACGGUACUAUCAAAGGAAGCACCGGCUAACUUCGUG